UCCUCGUUUAAGCGAGGCAGUCUGUCCAGAGUGCUCCAGCCUCUCGGCCGGGUGGCAACAGGACACAAGGGUUGCGCUCGUUGCGGGACUUAACCCAACAUCUCACGACACGAGCUGACGACAGCCAUGCAGCACCUGUGUACGCUGGUAUUGCUACCUCGUCAGGCUUUCACCCUUCUACUACGUACAUGUCAAGGCCAGGUAAGGUUCUUCGCGUUGCAUCGAAUUGAACCACAUGCUCCACCGCUUGUGCAGGCCCCCGUCAAUUUCUUUGAGUUUUAAUCUUGCGACCGUACUCCCCAGGCGGCACAUUUAACGCGUUAGCUUCGCCACGAAAGGGGUCGAAUCCUCUCACAGCAAAUGUGCACCGUUUACGGCUAGGACUAC
rnacentral:misc_RNA from 1 species